UACGAAGGGGGCUAGCGUUGCUCGGAUUGACUGGGCGUAAAGCGUGCGCAGGCGGUUUUGUAAGCCAGAUGUGAAAUCCCCGGGCUCAACCUGGGAAUGGCAUUUGGGACUGCAAGGCUGGAGUACGGGCAGAGGAGACUGGAAUUCCUGGUGAGCAGUGAAAUGCGUAGAUAUCAGGAGGAAUACCGAUGGCGAAGGCAGGUCU
rnacentral:rRNA from 1 species